GCCAGUGUAGUGUAGUGUUUUUGAGUGUUGGACUGUGACUCUGGAGACCAGAGUUCAAUUCCCAGCUUGGCCA